UCCUACGGGGGGCAGCAGUGGGGAAUAUUGCACAAUGGGGGGAACCCUGAUGCAGCGACGCCGCGUGAGUGAAGAAGUAUUUCGGUAUGUAAAGCUCUAUCAGCAGGGAAGAAGAUGACGGUACCUGACUAAGAAGCCCCGGCUAACUACGUGCCAGCAGCCGCGGUAAUACGUAGGGGGCAAGCGUUAUCCGGAUUUAUUGGGUUUAAAGGGUGCGUAGGCGGAAUAUCAAGUCAGCGGUAAAAAUUCGGGGCUCAACCCCGUCGUGCCGUUGAAACUGAUGUUCUUGAGUGGGCGAGAAGUAU
rnacentral:rRNA from 1 species